rnacentral:lncRNA from 1 species
CCAGGUUCUCUAACCUUAACAUUACAAACAUACCCUUUAGUUAUACAAAAAGGGUUCACAAAACAACAUAAUAAUAAUAAUAUUCAUUAAACUAUUCCAGCAACAGGCCUUUGCCUUUGUUCUUCACAGCACCUUCUACCACUUCGUUCCUAGCUGAAAAGUUUUAUUUAGCAAGGUUGAGCAACAAAUUUGCCCCGCAAGUUAAGAUAUACAAUGAAUGUAUAAGUAUCAGAAUAAUAGACUAUCUAUUUUGAUAGAAUGACACCAAAGUUCGGGGAACUUUGAAAUAGCUAAACAAAUCGUUAAUCAAUAUCAAGUCUUCUCGUAUUCUAGGCAACACAAUAAUCUGAAAAUGAAAGAGUACAACGCUUUCAAAGUUUCUACGAUAUUUUAUUGAAUAAACAAGAAUCAAUUCUACGCAAUAACAAAGUGGAA